AUUGAACGCUGGCGGCAUGCCUUACACAUGCAAGUCGAACGGCAGCAUGGAGAGCUUGCUCUCUGAUGGCGAGUGGCGAACGGGUGAGUAAUGCAUCGGAACGUACCGUGUAAUGGGGGAUAACGUAGCGAAAGUUACGCUAAUACCGCAUACGACCUGAGGGUGAAAGCAGGGGAUCGCAAGACCUUGCGUUAUCAGAGCGGCCGCUGUCAGAUUAGCUAGUUGGUGGGGUAAGGGCCCACCAAGGCGACGAUCGGUAGCGGGUCUGAGAGGAUGAUCCGCCACACUGGGACUGGGACACGGCCCAGACUCCUACGGGAGGCAGCAGUGGGGAAUUUUGGACAAUGGGGGCAACCCUGAUCCAGCCAUGCCGCGUGAGUGAAGAAGGCCUUCGGGUUGUAAAGCUCUUUCGGCCGGGAAGAAAUCGCACAGGCUAAUACUCUGUGUGGAUGACGGUACCGGCAUAAGAAGCACCGGCUAACUACGUGCCAGCAGCCGCCGUAA
rnacentral:rRNA from 1 species